CUCGGAGCUUGGCUGGGGCUCCUGGGGAGGGCCGUGGCUCCUCCUCACCCGCUGGGGAGCCAGGAGUUCCGUGAGUGGUUGAAGCCCUGCUGGGAGGGUUGGGCGUUUCCAGCCAUUCUCACACGGCUUCUCAGCCGGGGUCUCCCACCCCGGCCCUGGCCCUGGGCCUGCCCUCACUGCCUCCUCCCCAUCCCCUACCCCUAGAGGCCUCCUGCCCUGGUCACCUACGCGUCACCUAAGCCCCGAGGCCAGGCGGCUUCUUGUCUACUAAAGACUUCCGGAGAGAGGCAUUCACCCUGUGGUCAGAGCUGGGGUUUCCAUGGAGGAGCACCACAGCCAUAAAGAAAGGCUGGUGAGCCCCAGAGCGGAGGACCCUGCCGAGCUGUUUCCAGACUCCUGAUCCACAGAAACCGUGAGAGGAUAACAUUGUUCUGCUUGAAGCCACUACACCUGCCGUCACUUGUCUCGCAUCAUUAGGGAACCAACGUGCUCUGGAAGACAGCAACUCUCAGGGUCCAUUCCGCUGACACCAGCGCCUCAGAUGACACAGGACGUGGCAUGGUGGCUAUUGACUCAUCAAGGGAACAGCAAUGGCCACUCUGCACCUUGCAUUCCUAUCCUUUUUUGGGCUUCAGAUCAGAAAUCGCAACUUUUGCGUGGAGAUCCUGGGCCUCCACACUGCUGGCCUCCCAUCGUCCCAAGAAUGACUCCCUGGAAAGAGCCUGUUCAGACCCUUUGUGACUGGACUCUACUGUAAGAGGAGAAUCAAAUGCUUGCAAGAAAACUGUAAAGCAGAGUUUCCUAAAAUACAUUUCAUAAGCGUGAGUGCCAGGAGUGCCUUAAAAAUGUGACUCUAUUGUCAAAUAAGUUGGGCAAUUUACUGAAGUAUACAUGAAUAUGUUAAAACCUCCAAGGAGUCCUGAAUUUAAAACAAACCUACACACAAAAACAAAGGUAUUUUUUAACCUAUCUGUUUGUUUGUUUGUUUUUGUUUGUUCAUUUGUUUUGAGACAGACUCUGGCUCUGUCACUCAGGCUGGAGUGCAGUGGCGCAAACUCGGCUUAUUGCAACCUCCGCCUCCCAGGCUCAAGCAAUCCUCUCACCUCACCCUCCUGAGUAGCCCGCCACCAUGCCCAGCUAAUUUUUUGUAGUUUUGGUAGAGACAGCGUUUCACCAUAUUGCCCAGGCUGAUCUUGAACUCCUGACCUCAAGUCAUCCUCCUGCCUCAACCUCCCAAAAUGCUAGGAUUACAGGUGUGAGCCACCAGGCCCAGCCUAAAUUAUCUUUAACCCACUGUUUUCCUCAAAUUAUUUUAACAGAUAGCUCUUUUUAAAAAUAAAUAAAUAAAUAAACACUUUUACUAUCCCAAGUACUAAUAGGAAAUACUUCGAAAAAUGUGACCCAGGACCCCGCAGUGAGCUUCUCACACACCUGACUUCACCUCCAGUGGAAGGAAAUCUGCGGCCUGCUGAAAUAAGAGAUGAAGGAACUAAAAGAAAAUCCCCAACAUUUUUACUUUCAAAAACCCUAAUAAAUGGUACAAAUAGAAACAAAUAGCAUGAGAGACUUAAAUCUGCUAUAUUGAUGGUUACAUUUAAUUAGUGGUCUAGAGACUCCUAUUAGAAGGCAAAACUUGUCAGAAUGGAUAAAGCACUAGGGCCCAACUCUACAGUAUGCGCAAGAGAUGAACUUCAUACACACAGGUAGAAAUAGGUUAGAAGAGAAAAGAGGGAAAAAGACGCUCCAUGCAAACAGUAAUCAUAGGAAAGCUGGGUGGUACCAAGUAUUCUAAGAACAGAUGUGCCUGAUGAUAGAGCUUCAAAUAUGUGAAAAAAAAACUGACACCUGAAAGACGAAGUAAGUCCACAAUUACAGUUAUACCUUUCCGCGUUCCCCUGUCAGUAACUGCUCGACAGAAAGUCAGUAAGAGCACAGAAGGCUUGAAAAACACUAAAACCCGGCUCGAUCCACUUAACAUUGCUUAAGCAUUCCAUCCCACACGUGCAGACUAUAAUUAUGUUCUGAUAGAACGCUGAUCAAAAUAGACCACAUUCUAAGCCAUGAAACAAGACUCAAUAAAGUUAAAAGAACUGAAAUCAUGUAUAAUACAUUUUCUGGGCUGGGCGCGGUGGCUCAUGCCUGCAAUCCCAGCACUU
rnacentral:lncRNA from 10 species